rnacentral:rRNA from 1 species
GCAACCUGCCCAAAAGAGGGGGAUAACACUUGGAAACAGGUGCUAAUACCGCAUAACCAUAGUUACCGCAUGGUAACUAUGUAAAAGGUGGCUAUGCUACCGCUUUUGGAUGGGCCCGCGACGCAUUAGCUAGUUGGUGGGGUAAAGGCUUACCAAGGCAAUGAUGCGUAGCCGAACUGAGAGGUUGAUCGGCCACAUUGGGACUGAGACACGGCCCAAACUCCUACGGGAGGCAGCAGUAGGGAAUCUUCCACAAUGGGCGAAAGCCUGAUGGAGCAACGCCGCGUGGGUGAAGAAGGUCUUCGGAUCGUAAAACCCUGUUGUUAGAGAAGAAAGUGCGUGAGAGUAACUGUUCACGUUUCGACGGUAUCUAACCAGAAAGCCACGGCUAACUACGUGCCAGCAGCCGCGGUAAUACGUAGGUGGCAAGCGUUAUCCGGAUUUAUUGGGCGUAAAGAGAACGCAGGCGGUCUUUUAAGUCUGAUGUGAAAGCCUUCGGCUUAACCGGAGUAGUGCAUUGGAAACUGGGAGACUUGAGUGCAGAAGAGGAGAGUGGAACUCCAUGUGUAGCGGUGAAAUGCGUAGAUAUAUGGAAGAACACCAGUGGCGAAAGCGGCUCUCUGGUCUGUAACUGACGCUGAGGUUCGAAAGCGUGGGUAGCAAACAGGAUUAGAUACCCUGGUAGUCCACGCCGUAAACG